AGCGAACGCUGGCGGCAGGCUUAACACAUGCAAGUCGAGCGGGCAUAGCAAUAUGUCAGCGGCAGACGGGUGAGUAACGCGAGGGAACGUACCUUUUGGUUCGGAACAACACAGGGAAACUUGUGCUAAUACCGGAUAAGCCCUUACGGGGAAAGAUGUAUCGCCGAAAGAUCGGCCCGCGUCUGAUUAGCUAGUUGGUGAGGUAAUGGCUCACCAAGGCGACGAUCAGUAGCUGGUCUGAGAGGAUGAUCAGCCACAUUGGGACUGAGACACGGCCCAAACUCCUACGGGAGGCAGCAGUGGGGAAUAUUGGACAAUGGGCGCAAGCCUGAUCCAGCCAUGCCGCGUGAGUGAUGAAGGCCCUAGGGUUGUAAAGCUCUUUUGUGCGGGAAGAUAAUGACGGUACCGCAAGAAUAAGCCCCGGCUAACUUCGUGCCAGCCGCCGCCGUAA
rnacentral:rRNA from 1 species